AUUGAACGCUGGCGGCAGGCCUAACACAUGCAAGUCGAACGGUAACAGGAAGAAGCUUGCUUCUUUGCUGACGAGUGGCGGACGGGUGAGUAAUGUCUGGGAAACUGCCUGAUGGAGGGGGAUAACUACUGGAAACGGUAGCUAAUACCGCAUAAUGUCGCAAGACCAAAGAGGGGGACCUUCGGGCCUCUUGCCAUCGGAUGUGCCCAGAUGGGAUUAGCUAGUAGGUGGGGUAACGGCUCACCUAGGCGACGAUCCCUAGCUGGUCUGAGAGGAUGACCAGCCACACUGGAACUGAGACACGGUCCAGACUCCUACGGGAGGCAGCAGUGGGGAAUAUUGCACAAUGGGCGCAAGCCUGAUGCAGCUAUGCCGCGUGUAUGAAGAAGGCCUGCGGGUUGUAAAGUACUUUCAGCGGGGAGGAAGGGAGUAAAGUUAAUACCUUUGCUCAUUGACGUUACCCGCAGAAGAAGCACCGGCUAACUCCGUG
rnacentral:rRNA from 1 species